AGUGAACGCUGGCGGUAGGCCUAACACAUGCAAGUCGAACGGCAGCACAGUAAGGGCUUGCUCUUACGGGUGGCGAGUGGCGGACGGGUGAGGAAUACAUCGGAAUCUACUUUUUCGUGGGGGAUAACGUAGGGAAACUUACGCUAAUACCGCAUACGACCUACGGGUGAAAGCAGGGGAUCUUCGGACCUUGCGCGAUUGAAUGAGCCGAUGUCGGAUUAGCUAGUUGGCGGGGUAAAGGCCCACCAAGGCGACGAUCCGUAGCUGGUCUGAGAGGAUGAUCAGCCACACUGGAACUGAGACACGGUCCAGACUCCUACGGGAGGCAGCAGUGGGGAAUAUUGGACAGUGGGCGCAAGCCUGAUCCAGCCAUACCGCGUGGGUGAAGAAGGCCUUCGGGUUGUAAAGCCCUUUUGUUGGGAAAGAAAAGCAGCAGGUUAAUACCCCGCUGUUCUGACGGUACCCAAAGAAUAAGCACCGGCUAACUUCGU
rnacentral:rRNA from 1 species